AUUGAACGCUGGCGGCAUGCUUUACACAUGCAAGUCGGACGGCAGCACAGAGAAGCUUGCUUCUUGGGUGGCGAGUGGCGAACGGGUGAGUAAUAUAUCGGAACGUACCGAGUAAUGGGGGAUAACUAAUCGAAAGAUUAGCUAAUACCGCAUAUUCUCUGAGGAGGAAAGCAGGGGACCUUCGGGCCUUGCGUUAUUCGAGCGGCCGAUAUCUGAUUAGCUAGUUGGUGGGGUAAAGGCCUACCAAGGCGACGAUCAGUAGCGGGUCUGAGAGGAUGAUCCGCCACACUGGGACUGAGACACGGCCCAGACUCCUACGGGAGGCAGCAGUGGGGAAUUUUGGACAAUGGGCGCAAGCCUGAUCCAGCCAUGCCGCGUGUCUGAAGAAGGCCUUCGGGUUGUAAAGGACUUUUGUCAGGGAAGAAAAGGCUGUUGCUAAUACCGACAGCUGAGGACGGUACCUGAAGAAUAAACACCGGCUAACUACGU
rnacentral:rRNA from 1 species